rnacentral:rRNA from 1 species
GUCCUAAAAAAUAAGCUAAAACCAACUAAAGCUUACACAACAAAACCUGUCCGCAGAUAACGGACUUA